rnacentral:lncRNA from 1 species
CUCUCUUUCUCUCUUUAUUGUCACCAUUGAACCCAUUAACAGCUUCUCACCUUCUGCAACUUUAAUUAGCGUCAACAACAGGGAAGAGGAAAACCAGUCUUCUUCUUCUUCUUCUUCUUCUCUCUCUCUCUCUCUCCUCCUUGCUAACCUGGUUUGGGGGUGAUUGCAGUUUUACAAAUUCAUAUUUGAAAAUAAUUUUUCGUCAAAGCAAUGUAAGAUUACAAUUUGGGGUUGAAAUUAAUUAGUUUAUUGUUAACUUUUGGGUGAAAUGGAGUUGGAGAAAGGUUUGAUAAUGGUGGGUUUUGGUCUGUUUUAGGUUGGGUGAUUGGAUUUGACAUUUCGAGGGGAUUUCUGUUGUAUUCAGCUGUUUCAGAUCAACUUUUUUGAAAAUGUAUGAUCUUGAGCAUUGUUGUCCUUAAUGGAGCUGAUUUAUGAAAUUAAUUGGUCUAAAUCAUGUAAUUGUUAGCAUUUUUUCCUAUUUUUAUUUUGCGAUCCUUCAUAAAAU